UACAGAGGGGGCAAGCGUUGUUCGGAAUUACUGGGCGUAAAGGGCGCGUAGGCGGCCCGCUAAGUCGAACGUGAAAUCCCCGGGCUCAACCCGGGAACUGCGUCCGAUACUGGUGGGCUUGAAUCCGGGAGAGGGAUGCGGAAUUCCAGGUGUAGCGGUGAAAUGCGUAGAUAUCGGGAGGAACACCAGUGGCGAAGGCGACUACCUGGCCUGUUCUUGACGCUGAGGCGCGAAAGCUAGGGGAGCAAACGGG
rnacentral:rRNA from 1 species